UCUGUAUGAUUGGUAUAUAGAGUCUAGCCUGCCCACUGACAAAGUUAAAGGGCCGCGGUAUUCUGACCGUGCGAAGGUAGCAUAAUCAUUAGUCUUUUAAUUGAAGGCUUGUAUGAAUGGUUGGACAAAAAGUAAGCUGUCUCAGUUGUAUUGUUUGAAUUUAACUUUUAAGUGAAAAGGCUUAAAUAAACUGAAGGGACGAUAAGACCCUAUAAAGCUUUACAAUUAGUCAACUAAAUCAUAAAUUAUUGGUUUAACUUGGUUUAGUUGAUGUUUGUUUCGUUGGGGCGACGAGAAUAUAAUUAAAAUAACUGUUCUUUAAUAAUUAAUUACAGUUUUUUCUGAUAUAAAAUUGAUCCUUUAUUAAAGAUUAAAAGAUUAAGUUACUUUAGGGAUAACAGCGUAAUCUUCUUUGAGAGUCCAUAUCGACAAGAAGGGUUGCGACCUCGAUGUUGAAUUAAAGUAUCUCUGUGGUGCAGCAGUCACAGUAGAAGGUCUGUUCGACCUGUAAUUCUUUACA
rnacentral:rRNA from 1 species